GCUCCGCGCCGAGUCCUGCCCUGCCCGGCCCUGGUCCCGGUGCGAUCGCCCGAUCCCCGCCGCGCCGCCGGGGCCGGAGGCUCCCGCUGUCCUGCCCAGCUCUGCCCCUUUCUGCUCCCGCAGCCAUCCCUGAACCGGCCGGAGCAACGGUGCGGGGCCGGGGGCACCCGCCUCCGCUUUCACAGCCGGGCCGAGAGCGGCACCUGCCGCAGUCCCGCAGCCCCCGCCCGGGAGCAGGGACCGGCACCAGCACCGGAGUGGUUUGAGCAGCUCCCGUACGGAAGCGGCAGCCGGGGCUCGGGGCACGGCCGGUCCCCGGGAUGCCCCUGCCCCGUGCCGGAGCCGCAACCAACAGCCCCCGUGGGGAGCACGGUGGGGCCACCCCACGGCAGCAGCCGCUUCUGUCCUCAGCAAGGGCAGGAGGAGCAGCCAUCGGCCGCCGCGGUGCCGCCGCACUGGAAGCUUGUUCAGCUGCAGAAAACUACUUGUCUUGUUCCUUGGGAAGAAUGAUGCUAAUAGGGAGAGACAGGCAAGAAGUGCCAGCCCGACGCAAAUGAGGAUGCUGCAGGCUCCUGGCUGCCAGUCUAGGGCAGGAACAAGGUUUCCUCCUGUACAACAUCCAGAACUCGGUGCAGAUGUAAGGAACAAUAGAGAAGAACUGAAAAGCUGUGCUGCCUGCAGCUUCUCGCCUGGGCUGCUUUUGGGAGCAAUGGCACUGCUCCUCUCUGGGAAUGGAGUUUCUUAAGGAAGAAAGAGCCUACUGGCUCGGGUGAGCUUUGGAUUUAGAGGAUAGGCUGAGUCCUCACGGGACCGAACCUGAAUGACCCCCAGGGGUUUUGCUUUUGGGACCUUGUGUCCAGAUGCUCUGUAUGGCAACAGCUUCUGCCCAGGAGGGCUGUGUCCUGGCCCCUCUAUAUGGGUCAAGCCAGGGGGAUGGAGCCAUGUGCCCAGCACCAGCCUGGAGGAGCCAGAUGGCACUUGGCGAUCCCUGGCUGGUGUGAACGUACCCAAGGCUGGUUCUCCCACUGCCUGUACCCCCUGCAACAGUGCUGGACAGAGCCCUGGCACUGACAGACCCUAUGCGGCUUCAGCCCCCUGGUUGGAGGAUGCUGCCCUGCCUGGGCAACAGUAGGAAGGGUGGGGGUACCUGAGGGGCAGGGCACUGCAGGUUCCUCUUCCUGCAGCGGGAAGUGUCCAUCACUCAGUUCCUCUCCAUGACAAACUGCCAAAUCUGUGGAAAAGUUGCUUUUUCCAUUUUAGAUCACCACCUCCAUGUGGUGAUCCAGCCUCAGCAGCAGACACAUUGCUUAAGCAUGAAAAUUAGAGGCGUCUGGAUAAAUAAAGCUGCUGCGGAUGCCUUGA